rnacentral:lncRNA from 1 species
ACUUUACUGACCGCUGGCUGUUCAACAGUAUACAUACGUCCGACCGUCCGAGCUCAGGCGCAGAUUCUCCCUGGCGUCGGCUCUGUUUCGGUUUAGACUCUCCAAUGCCAUUCUUUUCGAUCAUCGCGAACGAAUUCGACACAAAGGGAUAUAGAAAUUCAUCUGGUCUAUAAAAGAGGGUGACGGUUUCACGGGGUCACGACGAUGGAGCCAUAUUUCUACGAUGAAAACCCUGAUUUAGCCAAGGAGGAUCGGGUCACACCGCCCUCAAACACGGAACGUAUAACUUGGUGGCUCGACCUUGCGCUCAUUAUCGUGCAAAAGAUCGUUCUCGUCCCAUUUAUUGUAAUUAAGCUAGCGGGAAAUCCGACACACAACGUACGUAAGCGUUCGUCGGUAAUACACUGGCUCAAGAAAAUAUUUGAAUAGUAUUUACAUAGAAAUAUAAAUACAUUAUAAGCGUGUUUAUAUAGAUGUUAUAGUUUGUGAAAUUUCAUUGAUAUAUUGUAAUAGGACACGAUUGUCGUGAUUAUGUUGAUGGAAUUUGAAACUGAUUUGAUAAUCAUACCUGAUAUCUACCAACUGUCAACGUAUACUAUAGGAAAUUAGUAUGCAGUGUGAAUACACAAAAGUAUUUGAACGCUUAUGACAACAAACUUUCGUAUGUAUAUUGUACGGAUUAAGCAAAACAUUUUGAAACUUCAUUAACAUUGCGAUGAGAUACGGCUGUUGUGAUUAUAUUGAUUUUGAAAUUAAUCGAAAUAUGUAUACAAAAGUUAUUACUUACUUAUAAUACAGAAGACAUACAUACUUAUACUUACAUAUACUUGUGACAUAUGAAAACAUACACCUACAGCAAACAGAUGUUCAAUAAAAAGAUUAUGUUAGUAUUAGUCGGAAUAUUCAGACUUAUUAAUAGAAUAGUAUUGAAAUAUGUGUAAUUUUAUGUGCUGGACUAGAUUGACCGCGUAGUGGUGACACACGUAUGUGAAUAUGAGUGUGUAGAAGUAUGUAUGGAUGAAUGUACUGUUCUGUUGGCAGUGUGGUACGGCAGAUGAUGAGACCAAUGUAUAUCGACGAAGAUCCUGGAAAUCGUUCAUUGAAUAAAUCUAAAACUACUUUAAUA